GUAGGGAAUAUUGGGCAAUGGAUGCAAGUCUGACCCAGCCAUCCCGCGUGCCGGAAGAAGGCCCUCAGGGUUGUAAACGGCUUUUGACGGUGAAGAAUCGACAGGAUGCGUCCUGUUUUGACGGUAGCCGUUGAAUAAGCACCGGCUAACUCCGUGCCAGCAGCCGCGGUAAUACGGAGGGUGCGAGCGUUGUCCGGAUUUAUUGGGUUUAAAGGGUGCGUAGGCUGGAAGGUCAGUCAGCGGUGAAAAGCUGUCGCUUAACGAUAGUCUUGCCGCAGAUACUUCCGUUCUUGGAUGAGGAGGAGGCCACUGGAACGGAUGGUGUAGCGGUGAAAUGCAUAGAUAUCAGCCAGAACACCGAGUGCGAAGGCAGGUGGCUGUACCUUAAUCGACGCUGAUGCACGAAAGCAUGGGGAGCAAACAGGAUUAGAAACCCCAGUAGUCC
rnacentral:rRNA from 1 species